UUCUAGAACCAUCCACAUUCCCCCCUUGUAGCUCUCCAGUAUCCCCCAAGCAUUCCCCCAUCACUGUCAGAUUAACCCCUUUUCUGACCCAGAGAUGGGGCAACUGAGGGGUGUUUUAAAAACUUUUAUUCUAUUUUCAGUCUCGUGUGAAGGGUGAGGCAACACAGAUGUUAUAAUUCACACCAUCACAAUCAGGAGCCAAUUAUUUCCUAAUUACAAUACACUAGAAGUGUUUUUUGGGAUGUCCUGAGUUUGGAAGGUUUUGCCACACCGUGCUGUAAUUGCCUUAAAGCCAAUUAUCUAAAAUUACCCCUUGUGGCUCCUACUGCAAUGAAUCUUUCAUAGUUCUAUUUCUCUAAAGUAUCAGGUCUCAUUUGCAAGGCCACCUUUUGAAAUUUUUUCCCUAGUUCUUUUUCUGUCUGUCCUAUUCCAUGGCAUUCUGUGUUUCGAAAUUUUGAAAAUUUUUUUUCUGUCUGUCGUAUUCCAUGGCAUUCUAAGUUUUGAAAUUUUGAUUUUUUUUUCCUAGUUCUUUGUCUAUCUGCCCUAUUCCAUGGCAUUCUAAGUUUCAAAAUUUUGACAUUUUUUUCCAUAGUUCUUUUUCUCUCUAUCCUAUUUCAACUCAGCAUUUCUCAUCUCCGUGUUUGCACACUGUGUGAGCUUUCCACCACAUCCCCACCCCGAUAUUCCUCCAGAUUGUCCCCAAAAUCCCUCCAGCACCCCUCUGGCACCAUCCCAGCUGGCAGCGGACUGGAGCUCACCUUGAAGAGGCGAAACGCGGCCAUCCAGCAGCUGCGGCUCUGCUCGUCCUCGCUGCAGAGCAACUUCAGAGCCUUCACUCCGCCCCGAACCUUGUGGGGCUGCGGGAAAGCGGAGCCGUCACGGAGGGGACAGGGACAGGGACAGGGACAGGGACA
rnacentral:lncRNA from 1 species